rnacentral:rRNA from 1 species
AUGAGCAGCGAACGGGUGAGUAACGCGUGGGGAAUCUGCCUUUGAGCGGGGGACAACAUUUGGAAACGAAUGCUAAUACCGCAUAAAAACUUUAAACACAAGUUUUAAGUUUGAAAGAUGCAAUUGCAUCACUCAAAGAUGAUCCCGCGUUGUAUUAGCUAGUUGGUGAGGUAAAGGCUCACCAAGGCGAUGAUACAUAGCCGACCUGAGAGGGUGAUCGGCCACAUUGGGACUGAGACACGGCCCAAACUCCUACGGGAGGCAGCAGUAGGGAAUCUUCGGCAAUGGACGAAAGUCUGACCGAGCAACGCCGCGUGAGUGAAGAAGGUUUUCGGAUCGUAAAACUCUGUUGGUAGAGAAGAACGUUGGUGAGAGUGGAAAGCUCAUCAAGUGACGGUAACUACCCAGAAAGGGACGGCUAACUACGUGCCAGCAGCCGCGGUAAUACGUAGGUCCCGAGCGUUGUCCGGAUUUAUUGGGCGUAAAGCGAGCGCAGGUGGUUUAUUAAGUCUGGUGUAAAAGGCAGUGGCUCAACCAUUGUAUGCAUUGGAAACUGGUAGACUUGAGUGCAGGAGAGGAGAGUG